UACAGAGGGUGCGAGCGUUGUUCGGAAUUAUUGGGCGUAAAGGGCGCGUAGGCGGUUCGGUAAGUCACCUGUGAAAUCUCCCGGCUCAACCGGGAGCUUGCAGGCGAAACUGCCGUGCUGGAGUGUGGGAGAGGUGCGUGGAAUUCCCGGUGUAGCGGUGAGAUGCGCAGAUAUCAGGAAGAACACCCGUGGCUAAGGCGGCUCUCUAGUACGGUACUGACGCUGAGACGCGAAAGCGUGGGGAGCGAACAGG
rnacentral:rRNA from 1 species